GCGCUCUUAGCUCAACGGAUAGAGCGUCUGGCUUCGGACCAGAAAGUUGGGGGUUCGAGUCCCUCAGAGCGCACAA
rnacentral:tRNA from 1 species